rnacentral:rRNA from 1 species
CCGAUGGCGACCGGCGCACGGGUGAGUAACACGUAUCCAACCUGCCGAUGACUCGGGGAUAGCCUUUCGAAAGAAAGAUUAAUACCCGAUGGCAUAGUUCUUCCGCAUGGUGGAACUAUUAAAGAAUUUCGGUUAUCGAUGGGGAUGCGUUCCAUUAGAUAGUUGGCGGGGUAACGGCCCACCAAGUCAACGAUGGAUAGGGGUUCUGAGAGGAAGGUCCCCCACAUUGGAACUGAGACACGGUCCAA